ACCCCUCCACCGCAGAACUCAGCUCUCCCCCAAAAAUUCAAAAUUCAUAAAUCCCCAAUCCUCAUAUUUCCAAAUUCUUGUAAUUAAUCUCCGACUACAAAGAAAACAUCAAGUCUCCUCGAAUGAAGGCGGAAGGGAAUGAAAGACCAUCGCAUUAAUUGUAUUGCACAAUUUGCUGAGUCUGACCAUUUCCUCCAGUCGUCAUUUCCAAGAUUAAAAUAAUCAUUAAGAUAAUCGUUAAAAAAUGGUGCUCGAGGGAAAAGUCAUUGAACCAUGGGACACGACAUCUCAGAUGUCCUUCAAAUUUUUUUCUAAAUUCUCACACUGACAGCAGCGUAAAGCCUUCACGAGACACAAAAUAAGUCCUUCCAACCUCUACUUGUCAAAGUGGCACAUCAAAUUUUACGUACACUGUCAUCAUCGACGCCGGUUGACGGGAAACCUAUUUUGUGGUGAGCAACCCCACUACUCGGUUUUUCCUCUGGAGGGAAGGGGGAAACUUGCAUGCCAGACGGAUGUGACAUAAACCCUGCGUUAUUCGAAAAUGGCCGCCACUCCUGCCCACCUUUUUUCAAAUUAAUCAUAAGAAUUCACUCUUUUAUUCAUUCCUUUCCUCCAGGCCGAUUUCAAAUCGAACGAGUUUAUCGGUGCACCUGACAGUAAGGACUAUUGCGUCGCCUUGCGUAAUUGCGGUGUGUUUAUUUUGACGGCAAAAGUGUCAUAAACAUUAAUGUAUAGACCGGAGAUUAAGAAACCAGUGAAAUGCGUUGUUCUCUGCUGAAGCCUCAGGUUUUCAAAUUUAUUUAUCGACCACACCCAGCGAUUUUACCCUCCGUCACAGGUAGCUAAUCUAUUCCCUGUUAAUUGCAAAAAAAAAA